AGUGAACGCUGGCGGUAGGCCUAACACAUGCAAGUCGAACGGCAGCACACUAAGUUCUUGCUCUUACGGGUUGCCAGUCGCGGACGUGUCAGGAGUGCAUCCGACUCUACUUUUUCGUGUGGGAUAACGUAGGGAAGCUUACGCUCAUACCGCAUACUACCUUCGGGUGCAAGCAGGGGAUUUUUGCACCUUGCGCUAUUGUCUGAGCCGAUGUCGGAUUAGCUAGUUGGCGGGGUAAAGGCCCACUAAGCCGGCGAUCCGUCGAUGGUCUGAGAGGAGGAUCACCCACACGGGAGCUGAGACACGGUCCAGACUCCUACGGGAGGGAGCAGUGGGGAAUAUUGGACAAUGGGGGCAAGCCUGGUCCAGCCAGACCGAGUGGGUGAGGAAGGCCUUCGGGUUGUAAAGCCCUUUUGUUGGGAAAGAAAAGCAGCAGGUUAAUACCCCGCUGUUCUGACGGUACCCAAAGAAGAAGCACCGGCUAACUUCGUG
rnacentral:rRNA from 1 species